rnacentral:rRNA from 1 species
AACGAACGCUGGCGGCAGGCUUAACACAUGCAAGUCGAACGGGCGUAGCAAUACGUCAGUGGCGGACGGGUGAGUAACACGUGGGAAUAUGCCUUUCGGUUCGGAACAACUCGGGGAAACCCGUGCUAAUUCCGGAUACGCCCUUACGGGGAAAGGAUUUAUCGCCGAAAGAUUAGCCCGCGUUGGAUUAGCUAGUUGGUGAGGUAAAGGCUCACCAAGGCGACGAUCCAUAGCUGGUUUGAGAGAACGACCAGCCACACUGGGACUGAGACACGGCCCAGACUCCUACGGGAGGCAGCAGUGGGGAAUCUUGGACAAUGGGCGCAAGCCUGAUCCAGCCAUGCCGCGUGAGUGAUGAAGGCC